rnacentral:rRNA from 1 species
UAGUCCACGCCGUAAACGAUGAAGACUAGCUGUCCGGGCACUUGGUGCUUGGGUGGCGCAGCUAACGCAUUAAGUCUUCCGCCUGGGGAGUACGGCCGCAAGGUUAAAACUCAAAGAAAUUGACGGGGGCCUGCACAAGCGGUGGAGCAUGUGGUUUAAUUCGAAGCAACGCGCAGAACCUUACCAACGUUUGACAUGUCUAGUAUGGUUACCAGAGAUGGUUUCCUUCAGUUCGGCUGGCUAGAACAC